rnacentral:lncRNA from 1 species
AAAUAUUUAAGGAUGCAAUCUUCUUCUCAUUUAAAAAAAAAUGUUCUUUUAAAAGUGACAUUACAAAUUGUACAAAAAAGUAUUCUUAACCAUCGAAAUCCAUAGUUGAUACUACACAAAAUAGAUAGAUGGAGAAAAUUUAAAAUCAAUUGAAGAUAAUUAGGAUCCUGAAAGGCACCUUCAUAUCAAAUAGUGGUACAACCUUCACUUCUUCAAUGAAAAGUUGUUUUCUUGCUUUUCGGCACAUCUGUUGGAUCACCAAUUGAAACAGAAAACAAAUCACCUAAGGAAACUCAUACUUGAAGGGAAUUUGAUGGAGUACUCUGUAAUUAAAGAGAAUAAUAAUUAAAAGAAAAGCUUGAUGUAUAUCUGAAGGCUUUAAAUGUCACGAAUCUAAUAUCUAAAAAUUGGCAAAAAGAGAGAAUUUAUAUAAUUUCCCUCAAGAUGCCAAUGAAAGGAAAAAAGAAUCAAGAUAAUAUCUAAAUAACAUAUGCACAAGGUAAAUAAUCCAUAACCAUUAAAUAAAAUUCUUUAACACAAAUUAUUUGAACACCAACUAGUUUUCAUAAAUAAUCCAAAAACUCCAAAUACUAAAUUAAAUAACUCCUACUGAGGUAUUGUAUUCCUCAAUAAAUAUUAAUCCAUGAAUUUAAAUAAACUAGAUCUAUCAUAAAAGAUAACAACUAAGAUCUCAAACUCCUUCCCGAACCAGUGGAUCCACACGAGCCUCCUGGUGUUACUCUUUAUCGUGCUCAACUCGAUGCUCUCCUCCGCCUACGCUCCAUAAGGACACGUACCCACGUGCAAAAUAAGCAACAUAGGUCAGCAAAUAAUGCUGGUAUGAGUAGACAAGGGUAGGGAACUCCAUUCCCAAAAUAACAGGACUAUGCUGUCCUUCUAUCUAUAUUUAUUUUAUUUAAUAAUUAAAUAAACUUUAAUUAAAAUAAUGCAUGACUGAGUCGCACAUCUUAUUAGGAUAGGUCCAUCCCUGCAAGAAAUGUUAAUUAACCUAUCCUCCUAUAAAAUGGUAUUAAUAUAAUAAUAUAUAAUUUAUGGCAUCUCAAGGUCUCAACAUUAUAUCUCAACCACUAUAAGCCAAUCAUCACAUCCAAACAACACUUCACAACCUAUACCAAAUCACUAAUACACCUCCCACAGGAUGAACUCCACACAUUUGACCAUGGUCAAAAACCUCUACGUGGAAACCAAAACCCAAGUGGAUGCUCACUUGCAAGUUUUGGCUAGCUUCAACAUAUGCCUAACUCAUGAUCUCUAAUAGCUCCUUUGAGCUUUCUAAUGUCUGUAGGAUCAGUUUCGUAGGCUAAGCCAAUUGUCAACCCGAAGGCUAAGCCGUCAAGGGUGAUAUCUAAUUUUCUUAACUUAAUUCCACAUGUGUGGCAAAUGUACUAAUGCUUGGGUGACUACUAAAAUAUUUAAAAUUCAAUCCAUAAAGCAAUCACACAACACUUCAAACAAUCAAAUUCUAAGUACAUUUUGUACUCCUUCCUCAAUUUUCAAAUUAAAUAUAUAUAUCGUCCUUGAUGUCGAGCCAAUCCAAAGCAUUUAUCAAUUACUUCCUCAAAUAUCAGAAGUAAUCACAUAAUAUACAUGUUUCUCAAUAGCCAUUAAAAUCAUUAGCAGCCUAAUAUUUUAUUAAAACCAUAUAUCACAAUAUGCAUAUAUCAAUACAACUAAAGUCCGAAAAAUCAGAAACUGGCAAAUCCAUAUGGGUGUGAUGUACUAUUAAUUUAAAUUCCAAUAACAAACUUUUCAAAUAAAUCUUUUUCUUUAAAAUAAUAUAAACAGAAAAUAAAAUCACAAAGAGAAUCAAAACCCGCAACGCGACAGUCUUGUAUGUACAGUACAAUCAAAACCAAAAUACAUUUGUACAUCAAACCCAUUUUUUUUCUUUUUUGUAUAAAAGUGUGAAUCUAACCAUGUUAUUGUCCAUGAGUCAAAGUAUAUAAUAAAAUCAGAAAAAAAUAAAUAGAUUUAACAUCAGACCAUAUUAACAUCACCCGGUAGUAGUAAAGCCCCCGGUCGGUGAUGAAUGCGGUGUGUUCCUGAUCUUCUUCGUGAAGUGGAAUCUGGUUGUAACCGGAGUAUGCGUCCAUGAAGGACAAUCUUUGAUAGCCGGUGGUGGCGUCUACCAUGUCCGUGAUCCUAGGGAGUGGAUAUGGAUGCACAGGACAUACUUUGUUAAGAUUAGUAAAAUCGAUGCAAACUCGAAUCUUACCAUUCUUCUUCGGGACAGCCACGAUGUUGGAAACCCAGGUAGGGUAGAUGACCGGCUUGAUGAAGUUGACUGAGAGUAGCCGAUCGACUUCUUCGUUGACUGCCAGUUUCCGAUCUGGUGCCAUUCGCCUUGGUUUCUGUUUGACCGGUUUGUACUGAGGAUCAAUGUCUAGCUUAUCGCAGGCGGCCGCAAAGUCUAUUCCUGGCAUCUCGUUGAUACUCCAAGCGAAGACGUGGUGAUUCCGCCGGAGCAGAGUGAUCAUGGAAUCCUUCUCUGCCUCCGGUAGACCGAAAGAGAUGUAAGUUGUCUUGUGGGACUCCGAUCCCACAAUAACUUCCUCCAGCUCGUCGACCGGUGGUAAUAUCCCGGCUUUUGUGUCUGGCCUCCCCUUGGCAGACUUGCCGGGAGCUGGUUGCUAUUGAUGAGAGUCUGUCAGGAAGAUAGUGUUCCCCUUGGUUUCGGAGAUGGACUUUCCUUUGACAGCAUCGAGAUGGAACUUGAAUGUCGUCCCUUGGUCUCCCUUGACUCUGCAAACUCCGUUGGGAGUCGGGAAUUUGAGGCUCUGGUGGAAGGUGGACACUAUGGCUUUCAUCUGAUGAAUCCAGUCCCUUCCCAGAAUAACGUUGUAGCAGGAGGGGGAGUCGACUAGCAAGAAGUCUAUCCCGACGGUGUUGAAUCCCACCGUGAUUGGUAGGUGGACUCGCCAGGAGGACUGUGCUGGCUCCCCGUUGAAUCCAUAGAUAGGAGUCUCGUCAGAUUCGAUGAGACCCUUAGAUAGCUCCAUAGUUUUGUAGGCGCAUGAGAACAUAACAAUGGAGGUGUUGUCGGCAUCGACCAUGACUCGCCGGACCCGGUAGACUCCAAUCCAUGUUGUGAUGAUCAGGGCAUCAUUGUGCGGAUAAUGCACGCCCCUCUCAUCUUCUUCGGUGAAUGUCAAACCUCCAGGGACAAUGGACUCAGUAUUCGCCCCUUCAUUGAAGUUGAGCUGUCCAACUUCAUGGACAUGUCCUAUCCACCGGAGCUUUUCCCGAGCACAAUUCUUUCUUUCUGUCUUAGAAGAACCGGGUGUCUGUACAUGGCAGACAUAUACAAUUCGAUCUCCAGUUUACACCUGUUCGACUGCUCCGGUCUGUACCAUGUCAGGGAUGAGGUCGGCAUCGACCAGGCACUGCAUUUCAUACUUCAAUGACCUGUAGUUCUUCAGCUCGUGACCAUAAUCGUUGUGAUGAUCACACUUCUUGGACUUAUCUCUUCUGCCCUCCGGGUCUGCCGGAAGGGGGGCAGGUUUGUUGAGCAACCCUCUGUUCUUGAUCUUUUUGAAUACUUCCUCGAGGGGGAAUCUCAAGGGAGUGAACUCCCUUUCCUUGCGUUCGCCCCCGGUAGGCAUCUCUGACCGGCGGUCGGGUUGUCGGGCCGGCGCUUUCCCCUUCCUGUCCGUGUUCCUGUCAGGGGCUUUUACUUCUUUGCGAUCCCUGCCGGAGCUUUCUUCCUUUGCCUUCUGCGGCUUCUCGGAGGUUUGGCCUCCAGCAAGUCUCUUUCUUCUAGCUUUUAGGUCGUCCUCCUCCUGAGUAUACCUUUCCACUUUCUCGAGCAAGGCUGAAACAGAUGAGGGUGGCUUCCUUGCCAAUGACCGAUACAAUUCCUCAUGGUUGCUAUUCAAGGCAUACUUGAAAGCUUGAAUAACGACGCUGUCAGAUGUGUCCUGUACCUCAGAUAGUAGGGUUCGGAACCUCCGGGCGAAAUUCCUGAGUGUUUCGCUCCGGUCCAUCUGUAGGGAGAACAAGACUUCAGCUCCUUUCUUGGUCUAAACAUUGAACCGAUACUUCUCUUCGAACAACUCAGCCAGUUGUACGAAUGUGCGGACGGAUGCGGGUGGUAGAUUGUGAUACCACGUCUGUGCCUCGCCUUUGAGUGAAGCAGCAAACAUUUUCGCUAGUAGCUUAUCAUCAUGGUCCCAGAUGACCAUGGUGUUUUUGUAGUUCAUAACAUGCUGAACCGGACAACAGUUUGUCUCGUCAUACUGUUCGAAGGGCGGUUGCUUGAAGCUGGCCGGGACCAUAUGACUCCUGACCUCUUCUGCUAAAGGUGAUACGGCUAACCAUGAAAGAUUAAGCUUUCUGACUCGCUCCUCCCAGUUGGCUUUGUUGGAUACAGCAAGAUCGAUCAUCUCUUGCAGCUUGAGUUGAUUCAUCUGUUCCACAUUUAGCUCUGGUUGUCUCUGAUGAAUGUGGACCAUUUGAGGGUUCUUUGUUCUCUGACCGUGGGAUGCCGGGAGAGUACUCUAGUGCCUCCUCCGGCACAGUCUCCCUGGAGGAGUGGCUUCUUCGAUAGAUCUGCUGCGGGCAAUCCUGCGGCCAUCACCCGGCCCGGGUGUUCUUGCGCGUCCGCGGCGAUGUCUCUGAACUGGAGAGAUAGACAUCAUAUCUCUCCCUGGUGCUAGCCUGUCCCAGACAGGACGGAGACCAUGGCUAUGAGGGGUAAGACUUUGAUCACUGCUUGACCGUGGCCUUAUCUUCUUCUGAGGAGAUGAUCUUGAAGACAGGGCUGAAGAUGACUGGCUAUCUCUGGCCCUGGUUCUCUUCUUUCUCCUUAAUUCUGCAUUUUCCCUAGUCAGCCGUUUGAUGAUUACAGUUGGGGACUCGACCGCUGGUCCUUUUCACUGCUGCUGCUCAGUAUAACCUCAUCCCGUUGUCAGGGGAGAGAUUCUCUGGACUCUUCUUGUAGCGGCUGCCCUGGAAGGUUCAGGAUCUUGUGGAGUUGGUAUCCUGACGGUCCGGUUGACCGCAUCAGGAUCGCCAGGAUUGUUAGUGAUUUCCACCACUAAGUUUUCUGCCUCCGGCUGUCUACUUUUAGAGUGUUGCGAGCCCUGAUCGUGGUCCUCACUCUCGAGAACUGAUUCUUGAUUCACCGGUUCUAUUGCUUCGAGAACCGGAGACAGAUGAGAAAGGUUCUAUGUCUGACUUUCAGUAACUUGACUCAUUCCAUUGUUGGAACGAGUUGGGCGUCUCUUACUUCCAGCCAUUGCUGCAGUAACUCCGGUAUGACUGGAAUGAGAUUUCUUGCAAGGCUCUAGAACUGAUGGGAUAUUCAGCCCCACGGUGGGUGCCAAAGAGUGUGGGUGCAAAAAUUUGAUCCACGAACUUGAGAUAUGUAUAUAUUGAUCGUACAGUUACAAUGAAAGCCUUGUGUAGACAGGGAUAGGAUGGGGGGUAUACAGUAAGACUGGACCUGAUCGGGAUCAAACUGCCUACGUAUCCAAGAUGAUGAACUUGGAAUCAAGUCUCUGCUUCCACUAAGCUCUAAUGGAGUUGCUCAGUGAAAGACUCGUAGUUCAGGAGGUUAAGAACUCGAGUAUUUGUAGUAGGUCGAAAGAGGCUGGCUCAACCACCCCUUCGAUUUUAACUCCACGAACUCGGGUUGUUCAACUGUGAAGAUGUUUUCCGUGGAGAUAGCUUGCAUGCUGCCGAGCGGUUAUCUCCUUGGUUUGAAUCCCCUUUGACCAGGAUGACUGCCAUGUGGCAUCCUCUGAUAGGUCCUGGUUCAACCUGGGUUUCCUUUAUCUUCUCCAGCGGGCUAGAACCAUGGGUUCUGUUGGCCUGGAAUCUUGCUGGACUUAUCCAGUUGGUUGGGGCUUGGAUUGACCAAGCCUGAAAGCAAAGACUUGGGCUUGACUCCUCUGACCGGAGGCCCAAUCUACACUGCAUACUCCCUGGCCAGGUCCUCUGGACUUCUGUGCUAAGCCUUUGGAUGAGCCCCUGUCGCUGUUGGACCUUACUGGGCCGGACCUGGCCUACUUGACUGAGGUGGGUCUGGUCGAUGUAUGGGAGCCUACGGUUCAACUUCUUAUACAGCAACCGGGGCUCCACCCAUUGAUACUGGACUAUCCGGUGAGUCAAUGUCCACAGAGCGUAUGCGGAUCUCUUGAAACCGGGUUGGGCCCUACCCGAUAGCCCAGGCUUGGCUGGCUACUGCUCAGGUGCUCCCGGUUUAGCUUCUUAUACAGCCAUCGGUGACACCUGUCGGGUUUUUUACCUAGGGUACACACAGUCACCAAUCAGGGUCCCAUCAUCCAAAUACCAUGCCUGCAGCUUCAAGUGACACUCAGAUUGGAUGCGCAAUACUAGUGGAUGCAAGACUAAGGCAAAAAGAAGAGGCCCUAACGGAUCCCCCUAUUGAAUCCCGGUUGUUGACCAAAUAUAUGUGGACCCCAAAUAUAAUCUCGCAGACUGACUAUAUAGAUAUUCAACCGAUGGUGCAAUGCUGGGGCAAUGAAUGCGUACCUCUCUUAGCAUAAUCGUGCGAUCAACAAGAUUGAAAGCAUUUUGGAAAUCCACCAGCAACAUAGAAAGGGAUGUGUUAUCCUGAUUUGCAUGAAAAAACUGGCUGUACUGCCUCUGCCCCACCAGGGACACCGACGCCAAACUAAAAGUCAUUGAGGUAUGAGACCAUGUCUUGGGCAACUCCUUUCAUGGCUAUCUCGGAGACUAGACGUCGGCAUACCAUGCCCACUGCUACUGGGCGGACUCCAUUACCAGGCUUGAGGACAGGAGUAAGGGGUGCACUUGCAAUAAAUUUUGCUAAUACAAGUGGGCAUCAACUUUGCAACCAGUAGUUCACAACAAGAGUCAGUAGUUCACAAUAAAUUUUCUAACGGAUCUGUAAGAAAAUUGACUGGAGCCUCUUUCUUAACCUGUAUUUUUGUUCGCCAUACCACAUCAUACAAUAUAUCACACACAUGAGCGUGUCUGUAUUUAAAAUCGGGGUAAUAAUUACAGUGUACAGCAUGGUCCCCAAAGGUGUCCAGUCGGCUCUUCUUACAUACAGGACAUAAAUCCCCAUCCGUAAAUAACGGGAUCAUGAGACGGUACCGGAGAAUGGCACGGUACUCCACUGCCGUCAUGCGUUGUCCCAACCCUUAUAUACGAAUAGCAAUAAGAAAGUCUUUGGCAUGUUUGGUAUGUAAGCAUUCUAUCACAUCCCUUUGACGAGCAGACAAAUCAAAAUCCCUGUCAAUAUCAGUAGGAAUCUUCAUGUAGUAAGUUUCUGCCAGUGUGUGUUGGGCUUUAGGGGGCGGUAGCCCUUAAGGCUAGAAUACUAAGGUCGAAAUCAGGGAAAGAAAGUUGUAGCUCAGCAACUGCACUAUCAAAAGCAUCAUCCAUGUGUGCAGUACCACACCCUCGGAGUAUGUUGUCUUGGAGCUCCCGAGUUUGGCAUCGAGAGGCUGCGAAGGCAAACUUACUGACAUUUGUGGCACAAUAAAUGUCAAGACCACCUAGACGUAACGCCAUUGUUGUUACGCGCCACUGAAGGUCACCAAACCCCGGACCAUCAAAACUAUGAUACCCUGAAGGGCUGCCCGAAGGGUGGGUUCAAAAUAUUCUGCUGCUUCUUGAACAAAAGUUGGUUGGCAAGUGCAAAGAGCGAAGAUAAGUUUAGGUAAUCCCAUACAUGCUCGUAGUAGUGUUAGCUCACAUUGUGGGUCUUUUAAUUAUGCCAAUAGGCUCAUUAGCUUGGCUGUUUUCUCAACUCGUUGUCGAACAAGGCCCACAAUGAAUGAUGCAUCAGUACUAACUGCCCCUCCAAGCAACUUGACUCCACGUUGAGGACAUGAUAUACUUGGUAGAAACAGACCAGUACUAAAGCAACGAGGAUCAACUAAUGGCCAAAAAACCUCUGUCUUAUUCACAUUAAGAAUGAGCCCCAAUGACGGUCCAACUGCCUGAAUGAUAUAUAUGGCAACGGCCACUUGAUCAGUGUCACCAAUCAGGGUCCCAUCAUCCAAAUACCACGCCUGCAACUUCAAGUAACACUCAGAUUGGAUACACAGUACUAGUAGAUGCAAGAUUAAGGCAAAAAAAAAAGAGGCUCUAACGGAUCUCCUUGUCGAAUCCCCGUUGCUGACCAAAUGUAGGUGGACCCUAGAUAUAAUCUCGUAGACUGGCUAUAUAGAUAUUCAACCCAUGGUACAAUACUGGGACAAUGAAUGCGUACCUCUUUUAGCAUAGUCGUGCGAUCAACAAGAUUGAAAGCAUUUAGGAAAUCCACCAGCAACAUAAAAGGGGAUGUGUUAUCCUGAUUUGCAUGAACAAACCGGCUAACUACAUGCAGUAUUGUCUUUGCCUCACCAGGCAGACCAACGCCAAACUGAAAGUCAUUGAGGUAUGAGACCAUCUCUUGGACAACUCGUUUUAUGACAAUCUUGGAUACUAGACGUCACCAUACCAUGCCCACUGCUAUUGGGCUUGAGGAGAGGAGUAAGAGGUGGACUUGCAAUAAAUUAUGCUAAUACAGGUGGGCAUCGACCUUGCAGCCAGUAGUUCACAAAAAGAGUCAAAGCAUCCAAAAGAUUUGUACUUACAGUAGAGGUUGCACCGCUCAUAAGAUCUAACAGAUGUUGGGCACGAAGUCCAUCACGCCCACAUGAUGUACCCUUAGGAAAGAACCUAAUGCAUGCCAAUAUUGUAUCCCUCCCUACAGUCAAAAGUGGCUCAGACAAUGGAGUAUCUAGUAUGGACGAUGGUGGGCUCAUCGGGUGUUUUUCAUCUAAUGUCUGCCGUGUCUCUGAAGUGUUUAGUGCUACCCCCUACAGAUGCCAACACUUUAACCGCAACUGUAAAAUGUUCAUCUGCAACCUUUUGCAAACAACGCCUUACAUUUUGUUUACGAGAUGGCUGGGUUGGUAAUGUAGAAUGAAGACCCUGUACCAAAUCUAAGAGACGAAAGAUACCACCCGGCUCAUUCCAAACUAUUAGGGCAUACAUGAUAUGUUUCUAUUGCAGACUCUUCUGAAUGCCAGACCGUCGCUUGACGCGAUUCUGUGGUUCAAACACUUGCAAGGUGCAACAAGGAAGCAGAAGAAGUCGAACCCAUGUUGCUACAGACCCCACGUCUACUGAGAUUCUAUACAAUACCCUUUCAAUGCACACAAGAAUGCUAGACCACGUGGUCGUGGGAUAUUCUUCAUUAUGCAAAAGGGUGUGCGAAAAAUGAAUCCAAUGGUACCUCAUCCAGAGACCAAGGGGCACUAGGAGGGUUAGAAUCUGCAGUAGAAACUCCAAGUUGUGUGGGUGUUGACUCAGGUAAUGCUAAUGGAUGGGGUAUACCUCGGAUCACGCUUUUAGGCUCUCCAUUUUCCAAUUUGGGCAAUGAAAGAACCGUGUCAUCCGGGUGAUGACAAUCCUUGUUCCGUGUAUGGACACUAAAGUAGUAACCACAUAUCCACUGCCCCACCAUGAUUCACUAAAGCAGGCUCUCCAUUUUUUAUUUUUUAUUUUUUUUUGUUGUCAUCAUGAUUCACUAAAUUUCAACGCAUUGUUGAAAUUUCAUCCAACUCACAUAAACCCAAAAUUUUACCAAUGCGUGUCAUCACAAUCUGCACGAUCUCAUUGUGUGUAUUUUUAAAGUGCAUAUUCUCAUGAAUGCAUCUAUGACAAUUAAAAGAAACCAUAUAGGCUCAGUAACAUAGAAAAUGGUUGAUGCCUUUGUGUGUGGAAAAACCAAGGAUCUUAUGGGCAAACAGUAUAAAAUUGUUAACCAUCAAGAUACAGCUCUGAAUCAAUGUCAAUCAAAUAAAAUUUAAAUUAAGGCAUUAAGCAUGCAUUUUUUUCUUUUAUGCAAGUAAUCGUGAAACCAUUGUACAAAUAAAUAAUUUAAAAUUUUAAUAAAUCGAUCUCUUUCUAGAAAAAACAAAUGAAUAAAUGAAUGUAUUGACAAUUGAUAACAUGAAUACAUCUCUCGAGAAUUUCUUCAAACAUAAUAUGUGCUUGAAAAAGUUUACCUGUUUCUGCACUCUUAAAUUCUAAUAAGUCAACCCAAAUCAUCAAUCAAGCAUCUCUUCAACCACAUAGAAUCUACAUAGAUUUCCAUAAAAUUAUAAAAAUCAAAAGCAUAGAAAAUGGUGGAAAAAACUAACCUCAAAGAAAUUGAAGAGAUUGUACAGAUCGUGAGAACAACACAAUAUACUGAAAAUUGUUCCACGCUUACUCAAAGGAGACAAAAAUGAUAGAGAAUGAAUAAUGCACUCCUUCAGACUUAGGAGGAAAAAUUAAAAUUGAGAAAAAGAGUCGGGUUGCUUAAGAGAAACGGUUGAACGAAGAGAA